ACCCUGGUCUUUUGAACUGUGAAACAGAAUUGAUAUUUAUGUGAUGGUGCAUAACCUUCAAUUUUUUAAUAAAGUGUAUUUUAGUUAUUGAUUUCUGUUUAAUUUUUCAGCUGUGAUCAAUACAGAAGAACUGCAGAAAUAUGUGCUUUUCUCACUAUGUGGAAUUGGCCUCAUUUUAGUUUGUCCAGUCAUUUACUGCUGUACCAGGAGGCAACGAAGAUCCAAACAAGGCCAGAAUCUAAGGACAAAUGAUGGAAAUGGAGAAGAGCUGGCUGAAAACUUCAGUAAUUUAAGGAAUAGGAGAAGCAAUUAUUUUGAAAGACUGAAUUCUGUAUAUGAAGGAAUUGGAUAGAGACACCAACGAUUCAGCUUUAAUAAAAAAACAUAAAAACACACAUUAUUUAUAAUGGAUGUGCAUUACUAUGAUAUGAAAUUCAAUUGCACAUGGACUGUUUUGAACUAGACUGAAUAGCCAUACUGUGAGAAUAAGUGUUCUUUGUUUUCCAUCUUAAAAAGAAACUUUUCUUUAGUGCUGCUUGAAGUAGGAAAUAAAUUAAUAGAAAAACAGAAACCUUCUAGAACAUCUUCAUAAAGAAGAAAAAGA